UCCCUGGCGGACUGGUGGUUAGGCCUCGGCGCUCUCACCUCCAUGGCCCGGUUCGAUUCCCUGCCAGGGAA